rnacentral:pre_miRNA from 1 species
GUGUGUAUACGUAUAUACACACUUGUGUAUAUACGUAUAUACACACGUGUGUAUAUAUGUAUAUGUGUA